rnacentral:rRNA from 1 species
CACAGUGUAGCAAUACAUGGGUGGCGACCGGCAAACGGGUGCGGAACACGUACGCAACCUUCCUCCAGGCGGGGAAUAGCCCAGAGAAAUUUGGAUUAAUACCCCAUAAUAUUUUGAGAUGGCAUCAUCUUAUUAUUAAAGCUACGGCACCUGGAGAUGGGCGUGCGGCUGAUUAGGUAGUUGGCGGGGUAAUGGCCCACCAAGCCUACGAUCAGUAGCUGAUGUGAGAGCAUGAUCAGCCACACGGGCACUGAGACACGGGCCCGACUCCUACGGGAGGCAGCAGUAAGGAAUAUUGGUCAAUGGACGCAAGUCUGAACCAGCCAUGCCGCGUGGAGGAUGAAGGUCCUCUGGAUUGUAAACUUCUUUUAUCCGGGACGAAAAAAGGGUUUUCUAACUCGUCUGACGGUACCAGAUGAAUAAGCACCGGCUAACUCCGUGCCAGCAGCCGCGGUAAUACGGAGGGUGCAAGCGUUAUCCGGAUUCACUGGGUUUAAAGGGUGCGUAGGCGGGCAUUUAAGUCAGUGGUGAAAUACCUGAGCUUAACUUGGGAACUGCCAUUGAUACUAUUUGUCUUGAAUGUCGUGGAGGUUAGCGGAAUAUGUCAUGUAGCGGUGAAAUGCUUAGAUAUGACAUAGAACACCUAUUGCGAAGGCAGCUAACUACGCGAAUAUUGACGCUGAGGCACGAAAGCGUGGGGAUCAAACAGGAUUAGAUACCCUGGUAGUCCACGCCCUAAACGAUGAUUACUCGACAUUAGCGAUACACUGUUAGUGUCUGAGCG